AUUGAACGCUGGCGGCAGGCCUAACACAUGCAAGUCGAGCGGAGCGACGGACGGGUGAGUAAUGCCUAGGAAUCUGCCUGGUCGUGGUGGAUAACGUCCGGCAACGGGCGCUAAUACCGCAUCCUAUCAGAUGAGCCUGGUUCGGAUUAGCUAGUUGGGGGGGUAAAGGGCUACCAAGGCGACGAUCCGUAACUGGUCUGAGAGGAUGAUCAGUCACACUGGAACUGAGACACGGUCCAGACUCCUACGGGAGGCAGCAGUGGGGAAUAUUGGACAAUGGGCGAAAGCCUGAUCCAGCCAUGCCGCGUGUGUGAAGAAGGUCUUCGGGUUGUAAAGCACUUUAAGUUGGGAGGCGUUACCAACAGAAGAAGCACCGGCUAACUUCGUGCCAGCAGCCGCGGUAAUUC
rnacentral:rRNA from 1 species